CGCCUGUAUCCUGGUAGGUCUAUGUGGUCUAAUGGAUAUGAUACUCGCCUUGCAGUUUGGAAUCUCACCAGAGACACGUUUUCAUACAACUAUUUUAGAUUGAUACGAUUAAAUAUACAAUCAUUUUUUGUUUGUUUUUGUUUUGUUUUUUUUGGAAAGCUAUCCAUUUACAGUAGGCCUAUCAUUAAAACAAUAGGCCUAUACGUAUUGUAUGCUAAGGAUGCAAGAAAAGUAUAUGACCUGGGUAAAGAAAAUCCCCCACGUCUCCUUCUGCAGUGCCGCCAUUACUGUGAACUCUCUUGGCUCAGAAAUCGACGCGGAAAUGGUUCCAAUUCGUGACCUGGUAAGUCAUUAUGAAUACAUUUUGAUAGCAAUAACGUAUUUUAUUGUGACGUAGAUCCGUUUAUUACUGCUGUAUGAGUAUUAGCUUACAGUCGAACGAGCCAAUCAUUGUUCAACACGUUCCUCAACACAACGCAAGCACAAAUCGACACUACAGUAGGCCUACAUUUCCGAAGACCAUUUAGUUUUAAAAGAUAUUUCACUAUUCGACACGAUCAAUACGAACGUCACAAACCAUCGAUAACCAUGGACCUUCUAGAAGAUCAAAACAAAUUAGUACAGGCUAUAGAGAGAGAGGACUGGCCAGCAGUAACAAACAUUCUUGAAAAUGAACCUCAUCUUAUUGAAACGCAGGAUAAGG